UUGCCGCUUGGGAGGUCCGACCAAUACGCCAGUCGCUCCCCACCGGGAUUCUUCCGAGAUGGUGUUGGCGAAAUCUGUCGGAGGCCGAUUGUCCGACCGCUCCAUGCCGGUGGCAGUUGCCGAAGGAUGUGGGGCCUGGGAAACUGGAGGCGAGGUUGGAGCUUGAGAUCUGGUCGCGGAGGCCGUGGGUCGCCGUGUGGAUGCUUCGCAGGAAGGCAUCGGGCG
rnacentral:lncRNA from 1 species